CCUACGGGAGGCAGCAGUGGGGGAUAUUGCACAAUGGGGGGAACCCUGAUGCAGCGACGCCGCGUGGGUGAAGAAGCGCCUCGGCGCGUAAAGCCCUGUCAGCAGGGAAGAAAAUGACGGUACCUGAAGAAGAAGCCCCGGCUAACUACGUGCCAGCAGCCGCGGUAAUACGUAGGGGGCAAGAGUUAUCCGGAUUUACUGGGUGUAACGGGGGCGCAGACGGCGUUGCAAGCCAGGAGUGAAAGCCCGGGGCCCAACCCCGGGACUGCUCGUGGAACUGCGUGGCUGGAGGUAAGGAGGGGCAGGCGGAAUUCCUGGUGUAGCGGUGAAAUGCGUAGAUAUCAGGAGGAACACCGGUGGCGAAGGCGGCCUGCUGGACUGCAACUGACGUUGAGGCCCGAAAGCGUGGGGAGCAAACAGGAUUAGAUACCCCUGUAGUC
rnacentral:rRNA from 1 species